CCCCGCUGACGAGCGGCGGACGGGUGAGUAAUGCAUAGGAAACUGCCCAGUAGUGGGGGAUAGCCCGGGGAAACCCGGAUUAAUACCGCGUACGCCCUUCGGGGGAAAGCAGGGGAUCUUCGGACCUUGCGCUAUUGGAUGUGCCUAUGUCGGAUUAGCUAGUUGGUGGGGUAAAGGCCUACCAAGGCGACGAUCCGUAGCUGGUCUGAGAGGAUGAUCAGCCACAUCGGGACUGAGACACGGCCCGAACUCCUACGGGAGGCAGCAGUGGGGAAUAUUGGACAAUGGGGGCAACCCUGAUCCAGCCAUGCCGCGUGUGUGAAGAAGGCUUUCGGGUUGUAAAGCACUUUCAGUGAGGAGGAAAACUCUGCGACUAAUACUCGUAGGGCUUGACGUUACUCACAGAAGAAGCACCGGCUAACUCCGUGCCAGCAGCCGCGGUAAUACGGAGGGUGCAAGCGUUAAUCGGAAUUACUGGGCGUAAAGCGCGCGUAGGUGGUUUGAUAAGCGAGAUGUGAAAGCCCCGGGCUUAACCUGGGAACGGCAUUUCGAACUGUCAGGCUAGA
rnacentral:rRNA from 1 species